GAUCCGGUAGUUCAGCUGGUUAGAAUACUUGCCUGUCACGCAAGUGGUCGCGGGUUCGAAUCCCGUCCGGAUCGCCA
rnacentral:tRNA from 2 species